UAUCAAAACCAAGCUAAAAACAUUCCGGUAGUUCUGUCGAGUUCUCCAAUACAAAUUUGAGGCAAAUCGGUCAGGGGGGUUUCCUGUAUGAUGAAAAAAGGGCGUUUGUCGAAGUAAAAUUUAAAAGUUACACCAUAAGAUUGUGUGACAAUGCAAAGAGUGCCUUAGAAGCCAUGAAAAACACAUUCACAUAUUUUUGUUUAGGAAAAGGCUGGAUACGCUUCCUGUUUUACUAAAUAUGAUGCAGAUGGGCUCAUUACCGGACGCGGCUGUACAAACAAGGUUAACCCGCCUGAGAACGCUUGUGAAUCUUUUCAGUCCCGCGAGCUGGUUGAAAAGUUUUGCUAUUGCUCCUUCUACCUCUGUAACAGAGAUGUCAACUCAUCGAACACAUGUUCAUUGGCGCUUGAAACCUCUCUUCUUAUUCUGGUGCUAAUUCGUGUGCUUCGAGAAUAUUAAUUAAUUUUUUACUUUUAUUUUUUUAUUUGUGAUUUGGAAAUAGUCUUUUUUCCCAAGCCCCUUUUGUACUUUGCUCUGUACUAUUUUUUCCCCGAAUUCACGAUCCAUUCACUUUUUUUCUUUCCCAAUUAACUUCAUUCACUUUUUUCCUUUCCCAAUUAAAUUCAUUCAGUUUUUUCCUUUCCCAAUUAACUCCAUUCACUUUUUCCCUUUCCCAGUUUUUCCUUUACAUUUUCAGGUCACAUCUUUCUCCUUUGUAAGACGUUAUUUUUCGACCGGAAUUUCGUUGCGCGGAAUUUCGCGGAAAUGCAUGUUAUUGCGCGGAAAUGCAUGUAAUUGCGCAGAAUUGCGUGGAAAUGCGUUUAAUUGUGCAGAAUUGCGCGGAAAUCCGCGUAAUUUCUCGGAAUUGUUUAGAAUUGGGCGGAAUUGUUUGGAAUUGCUUGUACUUUCAAGACUAUUUGAAAAAAUGGUCUAAGGCCGAAUUUAAAGAAUUUAAGCCGCAAAAAACAGUUCUAAUUGAGCACCGGCUCAAAUCUCGAAAUCCUUAAUACAAGUUUAAGUGGAACCAACAUUGUUUAAGCCGCGUCUCAAAUUCAAGAAGGCGGCUCAAAUUCUUUAAAUUCGGCUCUUAAUAUCAUUUGCGUGAUAGUGAAGUUAAUGAGCACAUUUUGAUUUAAAAAUCAUUGACAUAAAAAUACAAACAGACUGUUAUGGACACAUUUCUGUUGAGACACUCUUAUCAUGAUUUAGAAAAAAAUCUUCUUAAUUUCGAAAUGAUUUAUAAUUAUGAUUUUUUGCUGACAGUACUUGGAUAAAAAAAUGCAAAUUCUGACAAAGUUAAAGAGCUUUUAUAAAAUAAUCUAAUGAAUACAAGUUUGACUUAACCAGAGCUCAAUAUAAUCUAGUUACAACAGAGUUGGAUUUUUUGAAUUUCUAGAGUCCUUUACCACGAUCAUAAAUUUCUAGCUCUCUGAUUUGGUUGAUUUUUAAUCUCACAUUUUAGACAUUUAUAAAGGAAUUGAAUCUUUGCCACAAACUCUGAUUUUCUAAUCCCUAUAUCUUUGCAGCCCAAAUAAUAUG